UUAUUUACAAGUGUCAUCAGGUCGGAAUCGGGCAGGUUUUCAAAAAUCCAAAUUCAAACCCGGCUACAAACCUGAAAUGCAAAUCCGAACCCGAAUUCGACGGAUUUUAAAAAUCCAUAUCAAAAUCUGAACCUGAAUCUAACGGAUUUUAAAAAUCCAUAUCAAAUCCGAACCUGACCAAAAUAUCAGAAACCCAAACCUAAAUCCGAACACGAAUCCGAUAACCCGAACCUGAAAUAAUUAUUUUAAUUUCUUUACCAUAUUUCAAAAUAUAUUAUAUGAAAUCUAUAUAUAUUUUAAAUACAAAUUCAAAUAUAACAUCAAACAUACAUAUAUAUAUAUAUAUAGAGAGAGAGAGAGAGAGAGAGAGAGAGAUAGAGAGGGAGAGAGAGAGUUCGGCUACAAUACUAUUAGUAGCACGGAGGCCUCUGUAAUACCAAGUUGUUUUUGAUGCUGUGGCUUCCGAAUCGAUGAUCGACUCUAUUAGAUAUGAUCUACGCUAUUGGAAAUAUUUUAAAACUAAAUUAUAUAUUUUUUCGACAUUAUUUGACUAGUGAUCAAAGGGUCUCAAAAUUGACAAUUAUAAUGGCCGAUGCGAUGUGUUUGUGAAUUUAAUGAUAUAAAAUAAUCUAAAUCAGACAAAAUUUUUAUAGAAAAUUCUUUUUAUUAUUUAGAGUAAGAUCUGUACCUCUAAUUUUAAAUUCAAGUCUUUUAUCAUCAUUUUUUAUGAAGAUUUUAGACUAUUCAUUUGAUACGUAAAUAAUGUCUAAAAAUUAUGAAAUGUGAUUUCGUAACACUUUUAGUAGUGUAUACCAAGUAUAACAAAGACGAUCGUCGAUUCGGAAAAUGCAUCAUCGAAAAACAACUUGAUAGCACUAAGACCUCCGUGCCAUCGAUAGUAUAGUAGUCGGACUAUAUAUAUAGAGUUGAGUUAGAAUACUCUCAAAAGCACCAAGAGGGUGGUGCUUUUGAGUUUUUAGCCAUUGGAUGGAGAGAUAUAAGGUUGGGAUGAUGGUGGUAGGUAAUGGUAGGUGGUGGUAGGUGGAAUAGUGUUUAAUCCAAGGGCCAUUGGUUGAAGAUGUGUGGUUAGAAUGAUAGUGGUCCCUUAGGGUUGAGUGGGUGGUUGGUUGAAUAGUAUGAUUUAACAGGUGAAAAUGAUCAAAAGGGUAGAUCUAACGGCGAAAAACUAAUGAGUACAAAGAAACUUAUACUCAUAAAAGUAUAGUAGCCGGACUAUAUAUAUAUAUAUAUAUAUAUAUAUAUAUAUAUAUA
rnacentral:lncRNA from 1 species